ensembl:lncRNA
CCCUUUACAAAGCCGUCCACAGCUUCUGUCAGUCGGGCCAGAUAAGGUAAUCCUGUUCACUUGGCCGUCAGAUGAUGAGCGGGACAUCUUAUAUCUCGCAACCCCCCCCGAGCAGCUCAAAGGCUGCUGGGAAAUCAAAGGUUUGGAGAGAGAAGGAGGUUUUGUUGUGCUCCUUAUCUCUCCCAGUUGGAUUGAGCACUUAAAUAUAUGAUUUGAUCUACACGGCGGACAAAUUGCACGAAGCCGUAAGCCGAGGCAGCAGAGCAGAGAAGAGAAAAGGCAAAAAGGGAGGAGGUCGAAGGUCACUCACGGCUCCACAGGGGGCGUUCUGGAUGGUGACCGUGAACUUCCCCGAGUUGCGGCUCUUGGCGAGGACGUACUGACACGUGGCGGCAAAGGUGUAGAGCCGCCCGUCAAAGGAUUGAAAGUACAUGUCGCCCGUCACCGAGCACUCGCCUGGGGAGGGUCGGGGGGGUCGGGGGGGUGGAGAGAGAACCUUUGCUUAAACUGCUUUAAUGCUCCCUUGUCCUUCCUUGCUUCCUUGCUUGCCUUCAUCCUUAUCUCCUAACUAAGAUGAACCCUUCUUUAAUCUGAAACCGCCUCCUUCCUUUUCACCAAACAGGAACUAGUUACAUGCAACACAUAGAGAGACAUUUUGCUUCUUGGACCAGGUAUUUCCCUACGACUUCCCAAAGAAGGACCCGUCCACUGUUCAGGAGCUUGAGGAAAAGGACGAGGGCGACUAACCGGGGCAGCUGUGCUCGGUGCAGUUCCACACUCCGCCCACGCAUGUGCUGAAACAGAAAGCAGACACGUCCACAGGUGGAGGACAUCCGAGAAACACGGAGCUGAGAUCGCGGAAGGAAGCCGGGUGAACAUUUGUUCGCCCAGGGUUCGUUUUGCAUCCAAAUUUGACCCAUUUUAUUGGGAUAAAAGAGCAACGUUUGAACUAGCAGAUCAAAUAUCCAUUUCUCCUUGUGACAAUGGAAGCAUCGGAGGUGGGAGCAUCGAUUCAGGAUCUGACCCCUCAGCACUCACCAGUUGCUGCAUUCCUCCUGCAGCGUGUGUCCGGAGUGGUAAAAGAGGCCGUGGAACUCGCAGGGACAGUCGGAGGCCUCCACACAGCCUCCGUCCUCGUAAAUCAGACCUGAGGAGAGAGGCGGGAGUCGCUCAGCUCUGUCCGCUCAACAAGAGACCCGACGUCAAUCCGAGGUUCCCAAAGAAGAGGUGACGGCCGCCCCAAUUUGUGGAGGACAGGAAAGGUUUGCCAGCUGUACGCCACGGGGGGUAACAGAACCAGAAUAGAUGCGCACCGUCGGGGCAGUAGCAUCCGUCCAGGCAGGCCAGCCGGCUGUCGAUGCAGGUCCGCUCCAGGUUGCAGGAGGCCGGGCAGCAGCUGAUACACUCCCUGUGCUGCAGACCCGCCGGGCACGACCUGGCUGCUCCCAAAGAAGGUGAACAAAACACACAUUUACCUCUGCGGCCUCUCGGACUCCACCUGCACCUCUCUGACACGAGGGAAGACAAGUGAAAUGAUGUCUCGCUUAGCUGCGGUUUAACUGAUUGACAGUUCAGCCAAUGUCCAAAGUGUUACUUUAUGGUUCCACAUAUACAUUUGUUGUUCAUUUUAGCCAAAUUUAGCGAACGCAAGAGAGGAGAGAUUUAUAAAAUAAUAGAAAUGUGUUUCUUGGCACAAAGUCAUGUGGUAACAUUUUGAGGUUGACCGUAGCCGCAGUUAGCGAGCGCUUCUUUAGCUAACGUUCGUUUGGCCACUUAUCUGAUUUUUAGGAAUUAUUUAAGUAGGAAAUGUGAAUAUAUUGACAAUUCCUACAUUGAAGCUAAAAAUAUAAGAUUUAGUGCUAUUUAAUUGUAUGUCCCGUGCCUUCUAGUUAACCUGUUUGAAUAUAAGAGAAAUUAGUCCUAAAUUCUGGAAAUGAGUCGACAUGUUUGCAUUUCAGAAUCUCUCCUCUCAAAGUAAUGCUUUGUUUUUGGGGUUUGGGGUUAAAAUUCCCCAAAAAAUCUUGGCUGACCAAAGCUUAAGACAUUUUUAGCGUUCCGAAAAUAAUUGAUGUCAUUUUUUUUCUCAAACCAAACGUUAGCUUUUUACUUCCGCCGAUUGCAUUGAGGCUUCAAACGUGAUGAAAAACGGACUGUUUGCCGUGAGAAACGUACCACACUGAGGAAAGUGCUGCCUCCAGCCGUGCAGCGGGUGGUCGGCGUGGGCACAGGCCCGUGCGUACUCGCUGAGCACCUGGCACACCACGUCGCCUUCGGGCCCCGACCUUUGACACAGAAAAGACUCUUUGAGCGGAGCCAGGAGGAAAGGUGUGGCCAGGUGGGCCAGGUGUGGCCAGGUGGGCCAGGUGGGCCAGGUGGACCAGGUGGGCCAGGUAUGGCCAGAUGGACCAGGUGGGCCAGGUGGGCCAGGUGUGGCCAGGUGGACCAGGUGGGCCAGUUGGACCAGGUAUGUGCCGGACCCACCGAACAAAUAACCACCCAGCCGCUGAGUCAUGAGUAAAUCUUCAGGCCGGGCUCGCUAAGGCUGGAAGAAAACCCGUGUGUGGUGGUGUGGCUCCAACAAGUCGUCUUAAGAGGGUGCAUUUGUGUCUUUAUCACCGGUGUCGGUUCCAGCGCACUCUGAGUUCACUUUAAACAGACUGCCGGGGCUAAAGUUACCAACAGAGAGAGGGCGCGUUCGGGAUCAUGGACCCGAGCCAUCGAAACACAGCGCUGAGAAAGCAGAGCGCCGGAUCGCCUGUAACCGCGGGCGACGGGGAGCGCCGGCCGCCCCCUCUGGUCGACUUAUGACAAAAAUAAGACAAAGAAUCACCGCAGCUGGAACUCAAGAUUCAACAAAAGCAGAUUGUUAUUAGUGUUAAAUGAGGCACCAAAGAACGUUAAUGAAACAACAGGCUGUAUGAAAGAUGUGGACGUCGUCAUGGUGACGUCAUCCGCUGGUUUGUGGAAGGGCAUCGCCGUGUUGUCAACAGGAAGUUACCAUAUUUGGACGAGGAGAAGAUGAAAAGGCUUUGGUCGCAGCAGCACGUCAUUUGUUCCCUCAGUAAACAUUGUAAACAUGAGUUUAUGGUCUCGUCUCUAGUUUCUAGUCUCCUUCAACACAACAUGAUGUUCAUUUAGCGAAUUACGGUCCAUUUAGAGUCAAACAGGCCAUAAAGAAGGGGAUGCUUUAGGGCGGGGCUUAAUGUGAUUGACAGGGACGCAUAGUCCUCCACUCUACACAUAUGGUCACUUCCAAAAAACAACAACAUGGCAAACUAGAGGCUUCAUCAGUCCACAAACCACUGGGGGACGUCACCAAGACCACGUCUACAUCUUGUUUAUAGUCUAUCAUUGUCCUCUGACCUGCAGGACAUGUCUCAUGUCUCCACUGAGGAUGAAUCCUCUCCAUCUAAAUCAGCACCCUUACCUCAAGAAACAAAAUGGCUCAAUUCCCUCACAAAUCUGCGUGGAAAUUCCCCACCCAAACUGGAUUAACCUCUGUGGUUGUAAUGACACCCCGAGGUGUCACCCGAGGUCCCCGUGGUUGCUAAAGGAAGGUCGUCCUUACAUGCAGAGGUCGUUGGAGCAGCCGGCCAUGAAGGACAGCGGGCUGACGAACUCGUGGCAGCUCUGGAACGGCGGCUCCAGCAUCACGGCGCAGACCUCCUCCACCUUCUGCAGCCACCAACACACGAGAGGCAACGUCUGAGGACAAACACCACCGCGCACGUCCUCCCUCCGCAAAACACAAUCGGAAACUUUACCAGCAGGACGUGAGCUUCGGCCGCGGCGCAGGGCGAGGAGAAGCCGGAGGGCACCGCGGGACACCGGGCCCCGUGGGGCUCGGCCUCCGCCCAGCUGUUCCCGAACAUCUCUACGUCGUGGGUCAGCACGCCUGAGAAGACACGAGCUUUUAAACGGAUCUGGCUACGGGGUCCCGGGUUUUUUUUGGAGCCCGCCCCGGCGGAGGCGCGGCGUACCGUAACUGGUCCUCAGGUCGUCCUGCACGUCGGCGUUGAAGUUGCCGCACAGGCCGCAGGCCCUGCCCACCAGCUCGGGGCUGAGCUUGAGGUAGACGGAGCCGCUGCCCCCCUCCCAGGCCAGCGUGAAGCCGCGCUGCCGCGUCACCAGCACGUACUGGGAGAUGCGCUCCAGCUGCAGGUCGUGGACGUGAUGAGGCAGCUGCAGACUGCAGAGGAGCGAGAGGGGGGGGGGACAGUGAACGCACCGCGACACGGACCUCUGUGGUGUGAUGCUCGACAAACUGAAAUAAAGACGUUCCGUGUGCGCUGCUGACCUUUGCCCCUUGAAGGUCACGUCGGUGGCGUGCAGCCGGACCUCCCCGUCCCACGGGAGGAAGAGGCUGACGGAUCGGCGGCAGGUGUAGGGGGCGGAGCCGCAGCCGGGGUCAUUGUGGACCUGCACAGCAAAUAAUGUGUAAUCGUCUUUAAAACUAUGAGACUUAAACCGUCUGUUAGUUUAUGAAACAUACGAACAAUCACAAUGCGUUUGGAUCCCUUCGGUUUGCUUUUCCCCACAGAUACAGUAUCUGCUGCCUGUUCACCCGGGGGGGGGGGGGGGGGGGGGGGGGGGCGAACAAAGUCCCGGUCUGUUGCAGAUGCUCUCAAGGCAUCGUGGGUAAUUGCGGUAUUUAAUGGUAAUUGACUCUAAUAACCAGAUAGCUUUCACUAAUCUUCCCAGCAAAUCUUUUUAGCUCAGGGAAGGGGAGUGAGGGGGGGUUGAGACCUGGAACGUCACGGGAGUCAGAAAGCGAGAGUGUGUUUCAGACUGGAAGCGGCGGCGCCCGACCAGAACCGUCUGGGCAGCUUCCAGGAGGCAGGCGGGGGGGGGGGUUACUGACCCGGAUGACGAUGCUGGCCUGGGGGGUCUCCUCACAGUCCCUCAGCAGGGUGUACGUGCACCGGCCGGGGAAGUGGAAGUAGAGGCCGUCGAAGGUCUCGAAGUUGUACUGACCCCACGACCGGCAGGUCAUCUCCCGCUCCAAGCCGGGGUUCGGAACUGCGCCGGAAACAUUCGGGAAAACAAGGAGACAUUAAGGAAGGCCGAGUCUGAAGAGAUGGUUAUUCACUGCCAAGGGAGAAGGAACACCUUCAACUCUCGUGUCGGACUGUUUCUGUCUUAAUGCUUCAUCUGCAGACAGAAUAAGCUAAUAGGCUAAAAAUCUCUAAAUGCUAAUGCAGACAUUUCGCUCAAUUCUGUCUCAGUAUCCUGAGAGGAUAAAAAAAGACACGUCACUGUGCAAGAUUAGACAACAACCAAUCAGAGCAGAGAUCAGUGACCGGGUCACACGCAGGUAGACCUGUCACUCAAAGACGUCUCACCCUGCUGGGAGCUUUUGUAGAAGCAUUUGCAGGAAACAUUACCGAAAGUAACGUCGGUAAAAGUGGAGCUGAUUUGAAUGACUUGAGAUUCCGCUUGGUGGAUUUUAUCUUCAAUAAUACACCAUAAUGUACUAUUUAUAUUAAAUAUAUAUUGUACUAAUAAUCUGAAUCUACAAAGGAACAAAAGCUGACAACAAUAAACGUUCCUCAGGUGCUUUAAAAACCAGAAGCUGUUGAUCAGCAUGAAAAAUAGAAAUCAACGACUUUAAGCGACUUUAUAGAUUUAAACCGGCUGAUCACCGUGUUGUGGACCCUUCCAUUCUCAGAAGGGCUGAUUGUUGGGGAACAUGUGAGCAGCAGGCGUGUGGUGCGUACCUGUCUGACACCGGUGCCCAGUGGCCUGGUACAAGCUGCAGUCACAUGACUCCGGAUGGACGCAGCGUCCUCCGUUCAGGCAGGAGGACCAACACGUCUCUGAAACACACCGACAGCCUCAGGACAGAGAAGGAGGAGCCAUUUCUCCUCAGCGACAUUCAUUUCGUUAAAAAAUACAUAUAGAAACAGAAAAACAUUCAUUAAACAGGAUUUCUGCUUUCUAAUUGUUUGGUUUUUUGACGUUUAAAAUGGGGGAACAGAGGUUUCUUUCAUCACAUCAACCGCAGCAAAACUAACUAGAUGCGUCCGCACCGAGAAUCACUGAAACGCACCAAUAACUCUGCUGCAGGUCAGGAUUUUAGGUAAAAAACAAAUCGCCAUCUGUCAGCCCCCCCUGGUCCAACGCACCAACCUGCAGCAGCAGCAUCUGCUGCCCAAGGACCAUUCCAUGAAGGGGGGGGUGGGGUGAUCAGAUCAAAGCUAUUUCU